rnacentral:misc_RNA from 1 species
GAUGAAGAACGUAGCGAAAUGCGAUAAGUAAUGCGAAUUGCAGAAUUUCCGUGAGUCAUCGAAUCUUUGAACGCACAUUGCGCCCACUGGUAUUCCGGUGGGCAUGCCUGUUCGAGCGUCAUUAUCCAUCCCUCAAACCUCGUGUUUGAUGUUGGGCUUUUCUGAACCGUCACAAGUUUGGAUGCCUCAAAGGUAAUGACGGUGUCCUCGUGGGACUCGACGCACUGAGCUUUUUUGCAAAGGCACGCGUUUGUAGGAUCACGGGUGGCCCGGUCUAACUCUUAAAAAUUUUUACUAGGUUGACCUCGGAUCAGGUAGGGAUACCCGCUGAACUUAAGCAUAUCAAUAAGCGGAGGA